rnacentral:lncRNA from 1 species
GCAGUUCUCUUCAUUACAUGGAUACUCAGUCUGGGCUGCUGGCCCAUGCCUCAUAUCCCAGCACUCAGGAGGCAGAGGCAGCUGGAUCUCUGUGAGAUAGAAAGGGAAAGUUGCCACCAUCUCUAGAACUGAAGGCUGUGCUUCUGUGGACGCCUGGAGGAGCAACCUUCCCUGGUAACUAAUGACGAAGCAGAAUUUAGCCUCUUGAUUGGACAGUGGAGUCUGCACUUCUUCAGAUAGGGAAAUUCUAACAAGCUAAUGGAAAAUUAAGAUGGAAACCUGCUGUCUCUGGAAAGAAAGUCUUGGGAGAUCACGAGCCACUGGAAGACUGGAAUUCUCUGUACUGAGUGGGAAUAGGGACUCUCUGUCUGUGCUUUGAUUCUGCACGGCUAUGACCACGGUCAGAAUAAGCUCCAGUACACAUCUGGGUACAUUCCCUCACCCCCACCAUUAACCCAGCCUAGACUUUCUGUUUACUCAAACCAUGAGGAUCUGACUCAGCCAAUGCAGUUGAUUUGGGGAAUAUAUUGGUAAUUUAAAAUUAUCUAUUUGUUUAUUUUUAUGAGCAUAGGUGUCUUGCCUGUGUGUGUGUGUGUGUGUGUGUGUGUGUGUGUGUGUGUGUGUGUGUGUUGUGUACUAUAUGUGUGUAGUGCCUGAGGAUGCCAGAAGAGGGGGUCGGAUGUCCUGGAACUGGAGUUACAGAUGGUUGUGAGUCACCUUGUGGGUGCUUGGAACUGAACUAGGGUCCUCUGCAAGAGUAGCCGGUGCUCUAACCAUCUUUCCAGCCCCUCACUGGCAGUUUAGUAAGCAGAGCAGAGCUAACCCGGGGGAUCCUGAAACUCACUAGGACUGAACAGACACAUAACUGGUGCCCUCUGCAUUCCCAUGAUGGCAGAGGGCUCACUUGAAGUCUUUAAGUCACUCUUGUUUAUAGCCUCACUUUUGAUUCAGAUCUGAGGGUGUGUGCCAGGCCGGUCCCAAAGCUUGCCUGUGACCCAGAGCUCAAAGGUAGCAUCCAUCCCCACACCCUCCUGCUGACCUCACCUCAGGUAGAACCUUUUCCAGGCAGAGACCUCAGAAGGACACACCCACGACUGAGUUCCAUCCAUAUCUUCCUACCCAACCCCCAAACUCAGCCACCCCACUCCUGGCAAGCCAUGCUUCCACGACAAGAAAAUGGUGCAGAAACUGGAUCAAAACAACACUUUAGUCAGAAUAGGGAACUAUAGAAAGAAUAUCUUAGUUAUAGGGGAUAUCUAUUAAACCCAUAGAGAAUCUGAAUUUAUGUGUAUAAUAAGAAAUAAAAUGAAUUAUUAAAAUAUUAUUAAAAA